CGAUGAAGUGUACCUGCCCGUACCGCAAACCGACACUGGUAGGCGAGUUGAAGAUACUAAGGGGAACGAGAGAACCCUCGUUAAGGAACUAGGCAAAAUACCCCCGUAACUUCGGGAUAAGGGGGACCCCUGCGGGUGAAUAGCCUGUGGGGGUCGCAGAGAAAUGGCUCUUCCAACUGUUUAUCAAAAACACAGGUCUCUGCAAAGUCGAAAGACGAUGUAUAGGGGCUGACGCCUGCCCAGUGCUGGAAGGUUAAAGGGAGGUGUGCAAGCACUGAACUGAAGCCCCAGUGAACGGCGGCCGUAACUAUAACGGUCCUAAGGUAGCGAAAUUCCUUGUCGGGUAAGUUCCGACCCGCACGAAUGGCGUAAUGAGAGGAGCACUGUCUCAACGAGGGACUCGGCGAAAUUGAAGUAUGCGUAAAGAUGCGCAUUACCCGCAGCAGGACAAAAAGACCCCGUGGAGCUUUACUGUAGCUUGACAUUGGGUUGAGGGUGCACUUGUGUAGGAUAGCUGGGAGGCUGUGAAGCUGGGACGCUAGUCUCGGUGGAGCCAAUGUUGAAAUACCAGCCUGGUGUACUUUUGGCUCUAACCUGUGGCCCUUAUCGGGCAUGGGGACAUUGUCUGGUGGGCAGUUUGACUGGGGCGGUCGCCUCCGAAAGAGUAACAGAGGCGCCCAAAGGUUGGCUCAGGCUGAAUGGAAACCAGCCGCAGAGUGUAAAGGCAGAAGCCAGCUUGACUGCGAGACUUACAAGUCGAGCAGGGACGAAAGUCGGGCUUAGUGAUCCUACGGUUCCGAGUGGAAGGGCCGUGGCUUACCGGAUAAAAGCUACCCCGGGGAUAACAGGCUAGUCUUGUCCAAGAGUUCACAUCGACGACAAGGCUCGGCACCUCGAUGUCGGCUCAUCGCAUCCUGGGGCUGGACAAGGUCCCAAGGGUUCGGCUGUUCGCCGAUUAAAGCGGUACGUGAGCUGGGUUCAGACCGUCGUGAGACAGGUCGGUCUCUAUCCGCUGUGGGCGCAAGGGAUUUGAGAAGGGUUGCCCCUAGUACGAGAGGACCGGGGUGAACGAACCGAUGGUGUGCCAGUUGUGGUGCCAACCGCAUUGCUGGGUAGCUACGUUCGGAAUGGAUAACCGCUGAAAGCAUCUAAGCGGGAAGCCAGCUUCAAGAUGAGAUCCCUUACUAGGUCAACUAGGUAAGACCGCUAGAAGACUACUAGCUUGAUAGGCGGCAGGUGUAAGCACAGUAAUGUGUGUAGCUAAGCCGUACUAAUGGUCGA
rnacentral:rRNA from 1 species